AGGUGGGGGCGGAAGUGACUGUGUUAGUUUUGGGGCUUGCAGCGUCAGGUAGCUACGUCUACCGUAAGUGGGUGAGGUGUAGUGGGCUCUUCAAGUUUUUGAAGUCACUUUCGUGAAGGCUUGAGAACUCUGUUCUUUCACUGUGCACAUGGGAUGUCGUUUAGAAACUUACUGUUUUGGGGGUCUUCUUUUCCUGGUAGAAAUAUGAGGUUUCUCUUGAAGUUUUAACUUCGUGCCAUAGCUAUAGUAGCUGCCUAGGGCCCACACUGGAACAAAGAGAAACAUGUGAUUUGGAAACAGAAAGACUGAAAGUACGGGGCAUGAAGAGCCUUUGAUUUCUGGAGGCCACAUGGUCGCCCAUGGAAUGGAGUAGCAGCUUUGCUGUGGUCAGUUAUUAAAGGUGAGGGCACAGUGAGAAGGUAGCCAUCUGCAUUCCAGGAAGAGUCCUCAUCAGGAACCAAGUUGGCUGGCACCUUGAUCUUGGACGUCUCAGCCUCCAGAACUUUCGCUAAACUUUCUUAAGACGAUUAUUCUGAAUUCUUUCACAGUUCACAGAUCUCCAUUUCUCUAGGGAAACAACGUGACAAUUCCCACGAAAUUUCAGUCUGAUGCUAAAGGUAGGGACCGAGGUCAAGCUCGAAGUCAUUUAUAGGACCGUACACACUGCCUUAGACUAAAUCUGGGCUUAGCAGCUGCAGAAAAAUAACUCAUGGAAAGCCUUGUUUUAUUAUUUGCUGACAAUUAAAUGCAAUAUCAUAUGAACAUAUUAUGAAAGGGAUUUUGUAAGUGAGAGGGAGUGGCUGGGAAGAAGCAAGGUGAGUGGUGGAAAUGACACUGAAACUUAAACAAUGUUGGAGGGAAGAGUCAUCCACCUAGGAGGACUUCCUGAUUGAAAGCAACAGCAGAAACACAAACAUAUUGAAUUUAGAGCUUUGCAAAUGCAUCUCUUCAUGUCGGGCAUUUUGAGUCCUUUUCUAUUCCUAGGUAUGUUUAUUAAAUUAUAUGAAUCCAGUAAUUCCAAUUAUCCUUUGCAUAUCCAUCCUAAAGUGCAUUUUAUACCAUUGGAUUACAUUUGGAUUUGUUUUUAAGUUACAGAAAAGAAAUCUUGAGUCAGUAAAUGUGGUUAGAUCUCCAGGUCACUGAAUCUUGAAAGAAAUAGAUUUAAAAAGCUUUUUUAAAAUAAGGAAAAAUGACAAAACUCUGGGAAGAAUGUCACUAUUUCUUAGGUGCUAAUUAGAGAUGUGUUUAAUUGCAUGUUGUUCAUUUGAAGAUACUACCUUUUGAUCACUUCACAGGUAGGUAGCGAGCAUUGGUCCUUUUCCAACUGGUUAGACGUGAUGCUGGGAAAACUAGACUCUUUUACCUGACAUAGAUAACUUACCGUUUUAAUUCCUGAGGUGACAUCUUUCCAGUGUUAAAUACAGACCAGAAUAACAAUUGCAUUAUAAUUAUCAAACAUUUGGGCAAGGCAUGUAGAGUACUGUUUUUUUUUAAAUAAUUCUUCACUUCAUUUAGUUCUCUGAUUACAUAAUUAUGCCCUUUGUUUUUCUUUUGCAAAGUAAAUUGCUUUAGGAAAAUUUUAGUAAAAAGAAUUAAAACCUUCAACAAAAUACUGAUGUACUGUGAACCUCAAUUUUCUGUCUGUAGGAUGGGGUUGUUAAUACCCAUAGGUCACGGAGAGUGCUAGAGGAGAUAACUAGUUGUCACGUAUAAAUCAGUUUGUAAAAGCAAUUUUGUUCCAGGGCAUAAUUUUCAGGUGCUGAUAAUCAGAUCUUUAAAGAAAAAAAAAAUCUCUCUUAACUUGGUUGUCAUUUGUUAAACAAAGACUGGGAUAUCUUCGGGUGGUCAGUCAACUCACUCAUGGCCGUGAGGUGAACUGUAAUGGCCUCAAACUUACUUCUUCAGGUAAAAUGAAAUUCUGUUCACUUGGAGGCUCAGUUUCAUCUACCAGUAAUUGAUGUGGUGAGCUAUCUGAUUUCUAAAAGUGUCUUUUGUCAUUCAUUCAUUCAUGCAUGCAUUUAUGGAUUCAUUUAAGAAAUAUUUAUUCAGUACCCACUCUGUACAGAAUUGCUGGGUAUCACAGGUACCCCUACCCCAUCUCCCAAGAUUACUAUCCCCUGGUUGAUCAAUCAAACACUAAUUUGGUAUUACUGUGAAAGGACUUUGCAGAUGUAAUUAAAGUCCAUGUUAGUUGACCUUAAAAUAUGGAGAUGAUCUAAGUGGGCCUAACAUAGUCUCACGUCUCUUUAAAAACAGGUAGUUUUCUCCACUGGUGGCAGAAGGUGACAUCAAGAGACUAAAACCCUGAAGGGGAUUUGACUUGUUUGCUGGCUUGAGGAUGGAGGGGCCCACCUGUUAAGGAAUGCAAGUGAUCUUUAGAAUCAGAGAGCAGCCUCUAACAGCCAACAAGGAUAUGAGACCUCAGUCCUACAAUCACAAGGAACUGGAUCCUGACAACAACCUAAAGGAACCUGAAAGUGGAUUCUUCCCUAGAGCCUUAUGGAUGCCCUGAUUUCAGCCUUGUAAGAUCAGACAGAGAGAACUCAGUUGAGCUAUAUUGUACUUCAAGAUUGCAGAACAGAACUGUGAGGUAAUAAAUCUGUGUUGCUUUUAAACCACUGCAUUCAUGGCAGUUGUUUGCUACAACAGAAAACAAAAGCAAUCAUUGAUCUCCUUUCAUACUGUGACAUAUCAAGCAACUGCAGAAAGCAAUGCAAGGGUUAAAGAGACAAAAGUUAGAAAUGGAAAACCUAAAGAUAGGUCAAGGCGAAAUGCCUGAGCAUCCAAUGAGCAGUGCCUGUAGUAAGUGUUCUUAGUACCAGGAAGGGUGUUUCAGAGUGGGCGGGACUGUUUUGAGUUCUUCCUGGAGCAGGGGGCCCAAAAAGCAUGGGAAGGUUUGGCAAGGCAGAAUUUCUUUUAUAAUUUCAAAUAAAUGUCCUUUUGAACCUAUUUGUCUAUCUUUAAUUCAAAUUUUUGUUAAGAUGGCAUUCUGUAAUCCUAUGCUAUGUCUGUUCUCCGUCUUUUCUACAAACCUUUCCUCACCUUUGCAAACAAUAAAAUAAAAAGACUCCAAUCAGAGACUCCAAGGGGUCAGUAUUAUUGUUCCAAAGAGUCAAAAGGAAAUAAUCAUGAGCCACUUAUAAAUCCAAGAUUACUCCAAUUCCGUGCUGAGCUCUGAAUGAGAUAAUGUGUACAUGUACGUAAUCUCUAUCCAGAGUACAGGAGGAAAGCUUGACCAGGAGCCCUGGGUGCACUCUCCCACGUUUUAAACAUAAAAUGCUUUAAUCUGAACACUUAUCAGUGAAUAACUAAUCCUAGUAAGCACAUAACCAUGCUUAUUUUCUAACUCCUUUGUGGGCCAAUAAUGAAUACAGAUAACAUGGAAAACAGGCACUGUGGCAAAUGUGGACAAAUAGAAUUUAGAGACAGUGACAGAAAGCUUAGUCAAGCAUAAUGCUCACAAAACAUAAAGCAAAAAUCAGGACAAAAAACCAUCAAACCUUCCCCAGAGGCUCACGAUUUCAUAAGAGGGUCUGCCUCUAGAGUCCUUUGGCUUUGUGUGACCUCCUGUUCCCCUAGCAUUCAUUCGCACUCCCAGAACUAAAAGAAGUUUGGACUAUAACACUCAUUAUAUACAGUAGCUACUGAAGCUGCAAGGAUACAUAAAUAAAUAAAUAAAAUGUGUAGAAGAUAAAGUUAAAGCCCUGGGCUCAUCUAUUUCCCCAAGGUUACAAUCUGAAUGUAUUUCCAGUGGGGAAAAAGGCACACACAUAUCCCCCUAAAAAACAUUUUUUUUGAAUAUAUGAAAAGUAAAGCCAACAUACUUUUUUACUUGUACAUUUCUCCAUUUAAACUGCUAUUUGCAACUCAUCAUGCAUGAACAGAAGAAUGGGAUAAAAUGAACAAAGCACGGAUUUCUGUUGUUCCUGCCAUGAAAAGUUACAGCAAAUAAAUUGCACCAGAGGAAAGAAUAAACGUAAAAAUAACCGAAAUCUUUUUAUGUAGAUGAGGUGAAAAAGCAGGCUCCUUUAGAAUUGCUUCUUUAGAUUAUAAUAGCAAUUUAUGUUACAAGUCACUAUGACAGAUCAGCCCAUAAUUUAUUUCAAGAAGUCAAACUAGCAAGAUCACGAGUCCUGUAGGUGGUACUUCAUCUUAUCGUAUUAAAACGGUCUUCCCAAAUAUAAAAGAUAAUCUCAACUGCUGUGCUCUGUAAGCAAGCAGAAAAUUAUGUAAAUCUGAUUUCCUUACUAUGCGUGUGCUAUCUCUUUAAAGCUUACUAAAUCAUAUCCAGAUUUGUAAACACAAAAGCACUGGAUCCAAGAUACAUUUGCUUUUCAAACACUCAGAAUGAGAAAAGGUAUUUUGCAGGGUAUAAUUGAAAAAUUCCUAUCUGUUUUCAAAAGCUAACAAAUCAACGGUUGUGUGAGAUUAAAAAAAAAAAUACAAAACAUCACCUCAACUUAUUAUGGGCUUAAUUGCUUCCUCAUAAUGGAGUGUGACAAUGUGAUUGCAGUAAGAAUAGCACCUGCUUUGAAAAUCACGUAUCAAAAAGGAGCGCCGGUGAGAGGGAGCGGAAGCCCACGCGGCAGCCGCGUGGCAGCUCCUCUCCGUCCGCUCCUUGGUUCGCACGGCUUCUUACCUCUCUCCGUCACGCCUCUCUAGGCUCACUGCUGAAUAACUGGAGGGUAUUCUACUAAUGCACCUAAAACGAUGUCUGUGCCUGUAUGCCCAGCAUGGCGACUUCAAAGACAGAGGCACAUGCAGGCAGUUGGGGCUCUACCUGAGCCCAAACUCAGAGACUGUCUUCCUUACAGACACAGAAGCCCCCCCGUAUGGCCCAGACUACGCUCU